AUUGAACGCUGGCGGCAGGCCUAACACAUGCAAGUCGAACGGAACCUUCGGGUUUAGUGGCGAACGGGUGAGUAAUGCCUAGGAAUCUGCCUAUUAGUGGGGGAUAACGAAUCGAAAGGUUCGCUAAUACCGCAUACGUCCUACGGGAGAAAGAGGGGGAUCUUCGGACCUCUUGCUAAUAGAUGAGCCUAGGUCGGAUUAGCUAGUUGGUGAGGUAAAGGCUCACCAAGGCGACGAUCUGUAGCUGGUCUGAGAGGAUGGCCAGCCACACUGGAACUGAGACACGGUCCAGACUCCUACGGGAGGCAGCAGUGGGGAAUAUUGGACAAUGGGCGCAAGCCUGAUCCAGCCAUGCCGCGUGUGUGAAGAAGGCCCUCGGGUUGUAAAGCACUUUAAGCGAGGAGGAAGGUCAUCAUACUAAUAUUAUGAUGAAUUGACGUUACUCGCAGAAUAAGCAC
rnacentral:rRNA from 1 species